AUGAACGCUGGCGGCGUGCUUCACACCUGCAAGUCGAACGCUGAAGCCCAGCUUGCUGGGUGGAUUAGUGGCGAACGGGUGAGUAACACGUGAGUAACCUGCCCUUAACUCUGGGAUAAGCCUGGGAAACUGGGUCUAAUACCGGAUAGGAGCGUCCACCGCAUGGUGGGUGUUGGAAAGAUUUAUCGGUUUUGGAUGGACUCGCGGCCUAUCAGCUUGUUGGUGAGGUAAUGGCUCACCAAGGCGACGACGGGUAGCCGGCCUGAGAGGGUGACCGGCCACACUGGGACUGAGACACGGCCCAGACUCCUACGGGAGGCAGCAGUGGGGAAUAUUGCACAAUGGGCGCAAGCCUGAUGCAGCGACGCCGCGUGAGGGAUGACGGCCUUCGGGUUGUAAACCUCUUUCAGUAGGGAAGAAGCGAAAGUGACGGUACCUGCAGAAGAAGCACCGGCUAACUACGUG
rnacentral:rRNA from 1 species